rnacentral:rRNA from 1 species
UACGUAGGUGGCAAGCGUUGUCCGGAAUUACUGGGCGUAAAGCGCACGUAGGCGGAUAUUUAAGUCAGGGGUGAAAUCCCGGGGCUCAACCCCGGAACUGCCUUUGAUACUGGGUAUCUAGAGUCCGGAAGAGGUGAGUGGAAUUCCGAGUGUAGAGGUGAAAUUCGUAGAUAUUAGGAAGAACACCGGUGGCGAAGGCGGCCCACUGGUCCGGUACUGACGCUGAGGUGCGAAAGCGUGGGGAGCAAACAGG